UGGCAGGAGCUGGCCUGCGGAGUCUCAGGCUGUCGGCGGCCAUGGAGGGGCUGCGUCGCGGGCUGUCGCGCUGGAAGCGCUACCACAUCAAGGUGCACUUGGCCGACGAGGCGUUGCUGCUGCCACUGACCGUGCGGCCCCGCGACACGCUGAGCGACCUGCGCGCGCAGCUGGUGGGCCAGGGCGUGAGCUCGUGGCGCAGAACCUUCUACUACAACGCUAGGCCUCUGCCAGACCACCAGACGGUGCGCGAGGCGCGCCUACAGGACGGCUCGGUCCUGCUGCUGCUCAGCGACCCCAGGUAACUGGGUCUGGAGGAGUUGGAGCCAUGAUUUUUGGGACGCAAGCUGGCUGAAGGAGCAAACUGGGCCGGGGGCGGCACACUUCUUUCUUCCUGGGAGCCCAGCCUUAUUCCAGAUCCAGGUGCUGGGCUCCCAGGUAGAUGUCACACCUGGAUCACACCUGGACCCAACUGAUGCCCACUGCCUCCCAGAUGCUGUCCAGUCCUCCAGCAAGGAGUCUUACGGUUUCUCCAUGGCCUUGGGACCACUCCCUCCCCUGGGAGCCUCCACCACCUGAAUCUUCGGCUGUGCCCUCAUCCAAGAAGCCCUCCAUCAACAGGCACAGUUCCUUCUUUGGUGACCCACAGGGCUCCAGCUGAGAACGGUUCUGGCUACAGGAGGAUCUGCUGGGGCCAUGACCAAGCAGACUCUGAUCUGAGGGGACAUGAGCCUACGCAUUGCAUAGUGAUCUGCCACGGACUGUGGAUGCUCUCCUCUGCAGCCCAGUGUUGGGGUGCUGUGCUGAGCCUUCGGGAGGCCCCCCCAUGCUGUGGACUACAUGGUGGGCCCAGAAGGCAAUACGUCCUAAUUAAGAGUUGUACAGGCCUCAGGGUGCGGAGGUGGGGGCUGAAUCUUAGCCUUGGGGAGCUGGGCUACUGGGCAUGCACAAGUGUGCCGAGGCCUCGGGGGUCUCUUCCUCUCCGCCCCCCCACCGUCUCCUUUGCUCAGC